rnacentral:rRNA from 1 species
GACAGAGGUGCCAAGCGUUAGGCGGAAUCACUGGGCUUAAAGCGUGUGUAGGCGGAUGUCUAAGUACCUUGUGAAAUCCCACGGCUCAACCGUGGAACUGCUUGGUAUACUGGAUGUCUUGAGCCAUCUAGGGGCUACCGGAACAAAUGGUGGAGCGGUGAAAUGCGUAGAUAUCAGGAGGAACACCGGUGGCGAAGGCGGAUCUCUGGGCCAUUACUGACGCUGAGGAGCGAAAGCGUGGGGAGCGAACAGG